UAUAAGACUGGGAUAACUUCGGGAAACCGGAGCUAAUACCGGAUAACAUUUAGAACCGCAUGGUUCUAAAGUGAAAGAUGGUUUUGCUAUCACUUAUAGAUGGACCCGCGCCGUAUUAGCUAGUUGGUAAGGUAACGGCUUACCAAGGCGACGAUACGUAGCCGACCUGAGAGGGUGAUCGGCCACACUGGAACUGAGACACGGUCCAGACUCCUACGGGAGGCAGCAGUAGGGAAUCUUCCGCAAUGGGCGAAAGCCUGACGGAGCAACGCCGCGUGAGUGAUGAAGGGUUUCGGCUCGUAAAACUCUGUUAUUAGGGAAGAACAAAUGUGUAAGUAACUGUGCACAUCUUGACGGUACCUAAUCAGAAAGCCACGGCUAACUACGUGCCAGCAGCCGCGGUAAUACGUAGGUGGCAAGCGUUAUCCGGAAUUAUUGGGCGUAAAGCGCGCGUAGGCGGUUUCUUAAGUCUGAUGUGAAAGCCCACGGCUCAACCGUGGAGGGUCAUUGGAAACUGGGAAACUUGAGUGCAGAAGAGGAAAGUGGAAUUCCAUGUGUAGCGGUGAAAUGCGCAGAGAUAUGGAGGAACACCAGUGGCGAAGGCGACUUUCUGGUCUGUAACUGACGCUGAUGUGCGAAAGCGUGGGGAUCAAACAGGAUUAGAUACCCUGGUAGUCCACGCCGUAAACGAUGAGUGCUAAGUGUUAGGGGGUUUCCGCCCCUUAGUGCUGCAGCUAACGCAUUAAGCACUCCGCCUGGGGAGUACGACCGCAAGGUUGAAACUCAAG
rnacentral:rRNA from 1 species